GCCCAGGUGGCGGAAUUGGUAGACGCGCUGGCUUCAGGUGCCAGUGGCCUUUACGGCCGUGGAAGUUCGAGUCUUCUCCUGGGCACCA
rnacentral:tRNA from 1 species